rnacentral:lncRNA from 1 species
GAGAUGAUUGAAGGAACAAUUAAGGAAGAUUAUGACCAGUUUGGGAAAGAAUUAAUUGCUCCCAUAAUCUUCCCAAAAUCUAUGAGAUUCAAUCUCCCAUUAAGACAUCAGAUUUGCUUUCCUCUUUCUCUUGAUUUCUUAUGCGGAUUAUGAAGGAAAUUCCCUCCCCCGGGGGUGAUUCUCCCUUUAAAAGAAAAGAUUCAUGGGAGGUUUGAGAGAAGAAAUCCCUUAUAGAAAGAUUUCCUUUUCUUUUUUGUUUAUCUUCCUCUUCCACUUGGAUUGAGAUGCAUGUACCAUAAUGCUCUUGAAUUGAUGGACUUAUUUUCUUCUUCUUUUG